rnacentral:rRNA from 1 species
UACGUAGGGAGCAAGCGUUGUCCGGAAUCAUUGGGCGUAAAGAGCGUGUAGGCGGUCCGGUAAGUCCGUUGUGAAAGUCGAGGGCUCAACCCUCGAAUGCCGGCGGAUACUGUCGGACUAGAGUCCGGAAGAGGCGAGUGGAAUUCCUGGUGUAGCGGUGAAAUGCGCAGAUAUCAGGAGGAACACCGAUGGCGAAGGCAGCUCGCUGGGACGGUACUGACGCUGAGGUGCGAAAGCGUGGGGAGCAAACAGG